AAAGUUCUGUUCAAACAUAACAAACUAUUAGCUAAAAUAUGGGUAGCAAAGUAAAACCAGACAAAAAGGCUGCCAAAAAGGCAGAGGCAGCACGCC
rnacentral:rRNA from 1 species